AUUAAACGCUGGCGGCAUGCCUUACACAUGCAAGUCGAACGGCAGCACGGGGGCAACCUUGGUGGCGAGUGGCGAACGGGUGAGUAAAGCAUCGGAACGUGCCCUGGAGUGGGGGAUAACGUAGCGAAAGUUACGCUAAUACCGCAUAUUCUGUGAGCAGGAAAGCAGGGGAUCGCAAGACCUUGCGCUCUGGGAGCGGCCGAUGUCGGAUUAGCUAGUUGGUGGGGUAAAGGCCUACCAAGGCGACGAUCCGUAGCGGGUCUGAGAGGAUGAUCCGCCACACUGGGACUGAGACACGGCCCAGACUCCUACGGGAGGCAGCAGUGGGGAAUUUUGGACAAUGGGCGAAAGCCUGAUCCAGCCAUGCCGCGUGAGUGAAGAAGGCCU
rnacentral:rRNA from 1 species